rnacentral:rRNA from 1 species
CCUACGGGAGGCAGCAGUCGAGAAUCAUUCACAAUGGGGGAAACCCUGAUGGUGCAACGCCGCGUGGGGGAAUGAAGGUCUUCGGAUUGUAAACCCCUGUCAUGUGGGAGCAAAUUAAAAAGAUAGUACCACAAGAGGAAGAGACGGCUAACUCUGUGCCAGCAGCCGCGGUAAUACAGAGGUCUCAAGCGUUGUUCGGAAUCACUGGGCGUAAAGAGUGCGUAGGCUGUUUCGUAAGUCGUGUGUGAAAGGCGCGGGCUCAACCCGCGGACGGCACAUGAUACUGCGAGACUAGAGUAAUGGAGGGGGAACCGGAAUUCUCGGUGUAGCAGUGAAAUGCGUAGAUAUCGAGAGGAACACUCGUGGCGAAGGCGGGUUCCUGGACAUUAACUGACGCUGAGGCACGAAGGCCAGGGGAGCGAAAGGGAUUAGAUACCCUUGUAGUC